rnacentral:rRNA from 1 species
UCAAGUGAAUAAGUGCAUAUCGUGGAUGCCUUGGCGAUUACAGGCGAUGAAGGACGUUGUAGACUGCGAAAAGCUUCGGGGAGCCGUCAAACAGGCUUUGAUCCGAAGAUGUCCGAAUGGGGAAACCCACCCGCAAGGGUAUCUCACGCUGAAUACAUAGGCGUGCAGAAGCGAACCUGGUGAACUGAAACAUCUAAGUAGCCAGAGGAAAAGAAAUCAACCGAGAUUCCGAAAGUAGUGGCGAGCGAAAUCGGAACAGCCGUCGAGUUUUAGCAGCUUUGUUAUCAGAACAGUCUGGAAAGGCUGGCCAUAGUGGGUGAUAGCCCCGUAUGAAAAAACAUUGUUGUGGAACUAGGCUCGACACAAGUAGGGCGGGACACGUGAAAUCCUGUCUGAAGAUGGGGGGACCAUCCUCCAAGGCUAAAUACUCGUAAUCGACCGAUAGUGAACCAGUACCGUGAGGGAAAGGCGAAAAGAACCCCGGGAGGGGAGUGAAAUAGAUCCUGAAACGAUAUGCAUACAAACAGUCGGAGCCCGCAAGGGUGACGGCGUACCUUUUGUAUAAUGGGUCAGCGACUUACGUUCAGUAGCAAGGUUAACCAAUAGGGAAGCCGCAGGGAAACCGAGUCCGAAUAGGGCGACUAGUUGCUGGGCGUAGACCCGAAACCGGAUGAUCUACCCAUGGCCAGGAUGAAGGUGCGGUAUCACGCACUGGAGGUCCGAACCCACUAGUGUUGCAAAACUAGGGGAUGAGCUGUGGAUAGGGGUGAAAGGCUAAACAAAUCCGGAAAUAGCUGGUUCUCUCCGAAAACUAUUUAGGUAGUGCCUCGUGUAUUGCUCCGGGGGGUAGAGCACUGUUAUGGUAGUGGGGGUCAUUGCGACUUACUGCGCCAUUGCAAACUCCGAAUACCCGGAAGUAUGAGCACGGGAGACAGAGCACUGGGUGCUAACGUCCAGACUCAAGAGGGAAACAACCCAGACCGCCAGCUAAGGUCCCCAAUAUUGACUAAGUGGGAAACGAAGUGGGAAGGCAUAGACAGUCAGGAGGUUGGCUUAGAAGCAGCCAUCCUUUAAAGAAAGCGUAAUAGCUCACUGAUCGAGUCGUCCUGCGCGGAAGAUGUAACGGGGCUAAGUCAAUAACCGAAGCUGCGGAUCUCGUAAGAGAUGGUAGGAGAGCGUUCUGUACGCCUGUGAAGGUGACUCGUAAGGGUUGCUGGAGGUAUCAGAAGUGCGAAUGCUGACAUGAGUAGCGUUAAAAGCAGUGAAAAACUGCUUCGCCGAAAGCGCAAGGUUUCCUACGCAACGUUAAUCGACGUAGGGUGAGUCGGCUCCUAAGGCGAGGGCGAAAGCCGUAGUCGAUGGGAAACAGGUUAAUAUUCCUGUACCGCUGUUCAAUGCGAUGGGGGGACGAAGAAGGUUAACUCAGCCAGGUGUUGGAUGUCCUGGUUUAAGCGUGUAGUCGUGCCUGGUAGGCAAAUCCGCCGGGCUUAGAUGAGGCGUGAUGACGAGCGGGCUUGCCCGCGAAGUGAGUGAUACCCAGCUUCCAAGAAAAGCCUCUAAGCUUCAGUUGAACGGGACCGUACCGCAAACCGACACUGGUGCGCGUGCUGAAUAUGCUCAGGCGCUUGAGAGAACUCAGGAGAAGGAACUCGGCAAAUUGAUACCGUAACUUCGGGAGAAGGUAUGCCCCUAGUAGGUGAAGGAGUACAUCCGGAGCCAAAUGGGGUCUCAGAGAAUCGGUGGCUGCGACUGUUUACCAAAAACACAGCACUCUGCUAACACGUAAGUGGACGUAUAGGGUGUGACGCCUGCCCGGUGCCGGAAGGUUAAGUGAUGGGGUGCAAGCUCUUGAUCGAAGCCCCGGUAAACGGCGGCCGUAACUAUAACGGUCCUAAGGUAGCGAAAUUCCUUGUCGGGUAAG